GGCUUGUUUCCAGAAGAAUUAUCUGAAAUGAUAUAUCCACCCUUUUCGACUCCCUCAAUGGUGGUUCCAGCAAGAUUUGGCAGCUUUUGCCUAGAGAGUGCAAGGAUAGAGGGUCUCUUGCGGUUGAGGACAGCAACCUUGUAAGCACCGGCAGUUUCAUUUCCAUCGGCUGGGCGAAGCAUCAAAAUGUUAGGCAUUGCACGGAA
rnacentral:misc_RNA from 1 species